UUAUGUUGCUUACAAGUAUGUUUUUAACCAUGACUUAGUAAUCGACCAUCUAUAACCAACUCUGCUACUCCAAAAUUAGUACUCUGAACUUUUUAUCUGCCAUUGAUCUUCAAAAGCCUUAUACUCCCUAAAGAUGGCUUUGGGCCGGGCACGAAAAAAGCCCGGCCCAACACGAGCACGGAGUCGUGGGCCAGGCCUGGGCCAAUUUUUUUGGGAAAAAGCACGCUAAAUUUAGUAAAAUUAGGCUUAGGCACGAUGGCCUAGCCCAACACGAGAGCCCGUUGGCAUGGGCCCUAUUUGAACUUUUCAGCCCGACCCGAAGCCGAGUGGGCCUGGCUCAGGUCGACCCGUUUAGGCCCACAUCCAUCUUUAAUACUCCCCAUUUUAGAGCUCAGGGGUGUCUAUAUAGCUCGGCUUACUGUAAGAUAAUGACUCAGUUUCUUACUGUAAGAUUAUGUCUUUGUCUAAUUUUCUGACAUUGAUAGAAAAAAUUAUUGUUUUAAUCGACUUGAUGUCUAAUAAUCCUUCUAUUCACCGCCUUUUUGUUUAGAGAAAUGAAUUAAGACAUAAGAAAAGAGGGGAAAAGGCCAUGCAUGUAUAACAGAUUAGCAGCAAUCCUAGAAUGUAUUUACAUUUUAGAUCCUGUUUGGUUUGUUUAUGUAAAACUUCUCAUUGCAUAAUUGAUUUUUUUUUUUUGCAGUGGUUUGUUUACCGGUAUUUGUUGUUCAAGCCUGAUAGAGAGGAGCUGUUUAGGAACCUCAACAAGUCGAUAGCAAACAUCUUGGGCCAAUAAAAGAAGCUAUCAUCUAUCCGAUUUGAUUCUAAUAUGUUCGGUCUCUUCUUGCUACGCGCAUAAGCAUUAGCCGCGGAACUUGAACAAUCAUGAUUUUACGUACCCUUUGUUGUAUAGCAAUGUCGUGGGACAAUAUCAUUUAUAUAUCGUUUUUAGUAUUU